CACCACUCCCGGCUCUGUUAUAAUUUUCGUUUGCCUGCUCAAGAGCGAUGGGGUGCAGAGUUUCCAGAGCCAUCUUGCUUUUGUCGUACUUUUUUUUUUUUUGAGACAGACCUGGGUGACAGAGCGAGACCCUGCCUCAAAAAAAAAAAAAAAAAUGAAGGAAGGGCUGAGCCAGGGUGGCAUGAGCCUGUAAUCCCAGCUACUUGGGAGGAUGAGGCAGGAGGAUUACUUGAGCCCAGGAGUUCAAGACCAGCUUGGGCAACAUAGUGAGACCUUGUCUCAAAAAAACAGAGAAAGGAAACAGGAACAAGGAAAGAGUAGGAAAUGGAGAAAGAAGGAGGAAAAAAAAACAGGAAGAGUUGAGGGGUUAGAGGAGAAAAUGAUGUGACUCAGGAAUUCCACAGCUGUUGGUCAGCCUGGCAGUUCUGGGCAUAUCUAGUCACAUCGGAGGUCCCAGUGUCCCCAAAUUUGCAUAUCAAAGUGGUUUAUUGAGCCCAAGAUGCUUAGCCCUCACUAGCAACUUGCACCUACCUCCCUUCAAGUUUCCAGCCAGUAGUGGCGUUCAGAUAUGGGGGCUGCAGUGGGGUCCCACUAGGGAAAAUUAGGUCUGGGGGAAGUAGCUGUCUCCUCUUUCUCUCCUCCCUGCCUUUCCUAUUCGCAGUCUCCAGGCUUGCUCUUGUCUGCUAUUUCCAGUGCUAAUGAAGAGUUGAGGCAGAAGGGGCAACGGGCCAGGGCCUGCUGACAGCCAGGAAGCCUAAAGAGAAGCUGCCUGGCUAUUGGCCUUUGGCUUCUUGCCCCCGAUUCCUACUACCCAGCUUCCAUCUCCGGAGCUGCCUCUGGAAAGGCAGGACCUGAUUCCAUCCAGCAGCCUUGCUGCCUGACGGGAGAGGUUGCCCCCACCUUCUCUGUGAGGCAGGCAGAGUCCCUGAUUCUGCUUCUGGCAGUCGGGGGGUUCUUCUCAGGUUUCUUGGGGCCAGAGAUUCUCAGGGUGGGGCUUGGGACCUCUGUGGCACUGUAAGGCUUUCCCAGGCCUUCUCAGGCUAUCUCUAUCCCCCACCCCAUCUUACUGAGCCUCUCUGCUGUGUGGCCCCUGCCUCGCCUCCCACUUCCUUCCUUAUUCAACACAUGGUGUGGGGGGCCAGCUCUUGCCAGGUACACACGUGGGUGCACACGUGAGAGGCCUUACAUCUUAAGGCACACAUGCUUGAUACACGUGUGGCCCCAAGCCUGUGAACGGGCUGUGCACCCGAGGCCUGCUUUGCCCAAAUCACAUUUCUUCUUCCCUCCUACACCCCUUCCUGGGGUAUGCACAAGGGCUGCGGGAUGGCCUGUGUCCCUGCUGCCCUUUGUGGGUAUGGCCAGAGAUAGAGCUGGUAUUUAGGGGCCUGGCUGGGGGGACAGGCUUCCAGGGAACCCUUUCACCCUCAUGGGGCUACAGAGAUAGUUCCUCUUGGGUGGGGAAAAGGAGCAAGAACAGGUUGCCAGGAGAAAGCAGUGGAGGCUGGGCACGGUGGCUUAUGCCUGUAAUCCCAGCACUUUGGGAGGCAGAUCACUUGAGUUCAAGAGUUUGGGACCAGCCUGGGCAACGUGGCAAGAUCCCGUGUCUAC
rnacentral:lncRNA from 1 species